rnacentral:rRNA from 1 species
GACGAACGCUGGCGGCGUGCUUAACACAUGCAAGUCGAACGGAAAGGCCCUGCUUUUGUGGGGUGCUCGAGUGGCGAACGGGUGAGUAACACGUGAGUAACCUGCCCUUGACUUUGGGAUAACUUCAGGAAACUGGGGCUAAUACCGGAUAGGAGCUCCUGCUGCAUGGUGGGGGUUGGAAAGUUUCGGCGGUUGGGGAUGGACUCGCGGCUUAUCAGCUUGUUGGUGGGGUAGUGGCUUACCAAGGCUUUGACGGGUAGCCGGCCUGAGAGGGUGACCGGCAACAUUGGGACUGAGAUACGGCCCAGACUCCUACGGGAGGCAGCAGUGGGGAAUAUUGCAAAAUGGGCGGAAGCCUGAUGCAGCAACGCCGCGUGCGGGAUGACGGCCUUCGGGUUGUAACCCGCUUUCGCCUGUGACGAAGCGUGAGUGACGGUAAUGGGUAAAGAAGCACCGGCUAACUACGUG